rnacentral:lncRNA from 13 species
UUCUAUGUCCAUGGCGAGAGCUAUAACCUAUAACACGUUGUUCCGUAGCCGUCGUUGAAUCUGGGAUACUGUAAAAUCCGUUUGGGGAAUCAAACGUGUGUGGACGCAUUCGUUUAUCCGUUAGCGGAAUUAUUUUUGGUCUCUGCAACCCGCGUGUGAGAGACAAGUACCAAAUUAACUAAUUGAACUGUGCCUGCUGUGCUAAUAUAAUUAAGUUCAAAAGCAACUUAACCUCAUCAAAGAUCAGUAAAUUGGUUUAUCAUGAAAUGUGUAGUUAAUACCAAAAAUAAUGGAGAUAAGAUUAAUAGUAUCGCAGAGAUUAGGAAACAUAUUACAAGAUGGUUUCAACAUGCUGGUGACAAGAUGCAGUAUUACUAAAAAAAAAAAACAAGUCAAUAACUAUAACGUAUGACUAAUAUUUUUAUAUACAGAUUUUUAUUUUUUUUUUGUUUAUUGUAAAGUGUUAUUGAUAUGUGACAAGAUGCGGUAUUAUUCAGAAAAAGCACAAUAACUGUGACAUAUGACUAAUAUUUUUAUAUAAUAUUUUUAUAUAUUUUUAUACAUGUGUAUUUUUUUUGUUUAUUGUGCAAUGUUACUGUGAUGUAUAUAUUCUACAUUAGUACAAUAGGUAUUUAUUUUAAAAAAAUCACAAUAA